CCAUGUUGACAUGUUGACUGAUUUGGGUAUAUGGAGAGAAUUAAAUAAUAUUUUCAUCAGUCUGCAGCAUUGGUCUUGUGUAGUGUUUGUUGAAUUUAUUGUAUAUUUGCACUUUCUCUGUGUACUUCACUUACACUACUCUAAUCACUGAGAAGUAGAAUUGCUAAAAGUGUUUUAGGUUUAUAACAGCAGUGUGUAAGUGGUACAAACAGAAUUCAGUCAUAUGCAACGUGUGUGUUUCAUAUGGUAACAAAAUAUGGUUUUGUUAAAUUAGUGUAUAGUUUUUACAAGAGUGUUUCAUUUUGCAAUGGAUCUGAGGUGUUUUGCUCAUUGGGUGUGUGGUUGUGCUAAUUGUGUGAGGUGUAUUGAAAAACAAAACAAAGCAGUCAAAAUUGUGUUUAAGCAAUCGAGAAAAACUGCAAGCAACCAAGCUCUGGGCCACAAUGG
ensembl:lncRNA